GCCGCCGGCGUCUCGGGGGCUCCAGGCUGCGGGGUGGACGCAGCGCCGAGCGAUCCGCAGCGGAGCCGUGCGAGGCCGCCGGAGCCCCGGCCCCGAGCCCCGAGCCCCGAGCCCCGAGCCAGCGCCACCGUCGCCGCGCGCCAGCCGGCCCUGGACACGCCGCCGCCGCCGCCAGGAAGGCAGCCGGCGCCGAACAAGUUGCAAGCGCGCUUCUCCGCCCGGGGAAAGUUUCCCCCGCGGCCGCCGGCGGGAGUUGGCGUGGGGUCCCGCUGCGGCUGCUGGAAGUUCAUCCUGAAGCCAUCAGAGAGAGACCUCAAGAGAAUCCCGACCCUCCUGGAAGGAACAGACACCAAUUGGAAGAGGUGGGCAUCUCCUGGACAGCCCGAGCUUGCAGUGGCCGGGGCUUCUGACACCGUCAUCAGAGCAACUUGAAACCCUUGACUUUGGCGUCUAGACACGGGCCCAAUACUUUUCCAGGCCUCCCAACGCCUGCCACCCAGGUAAGGGAGUUCAGGCUUGCUCAGCACCGGGUUCUAUGCUGCACCUGUUGUCGUCACUAAUAGAAACCAUGAGCAGGGGCACCCGGUCAUUCUUUAUCACAGUGUCCUCUUUUAUACCCUUCCAGAGCAGGAGAGCCCAGUGGCUCAGGCUCUAAGGUCCAGCAGACCUGGGUUCGAAUUCUCACACCACCAAUUACUGGCUGCGUGGACCUUGGGCAGGUGUCUCGUCAACCUUUCUGUGUCUCAGUUUCCCCAUCGGUCAAACCAGGAAGGAAGAGCACCCACAUUCUGGGUUUGUGAAGAUGAAAUAUAGGAAAAGGGCUUAGAACAGGAUGGGCACAGAGUAAGCUCCGAAUUCAAGAGACGGUAACUGUUCCUAAGGGUACUCCUGUGCUCAUGACGAUCCCUAAUGAGUUCGUUAUCGUCUGUCUCCUGCCAGAAGGCGGAGUCCAUGAGGGCAGGGGUUUGUCUGCCUCAUUCUUAAUUGAAUCCCCAGAUCCCAGCACUGUAAACUGCCCCCCACUUUUUUUCAAGUUUAUUUAUUUUUAAGAGAGAAAUAGAGAGGCAGAGGCAGAGAGAGAAUCCCAGGCAGGCUCCACACUGUCCAUGUAGAGCCCAACGCGGGGCUCAAACUCAUGAACCCUGAGAUCAUGACCUGAGCCAAAAUCAAGAGUCAGACGCUUAACCGACUGAGCCACCCAGGCAUCCCUGGCCUUCAUUUGUUGAAUGGAUGAACGUAUGAAGGUGUUUUGCCUGUUUUAUACAGAACCCGCAGGACAAGUCCUUGAAGGUCCUUGCAUUAGUCUGGAUAUGAGUUUGGUUGUGUGUGACAAAACCCCUAAUGAUAGUUCCUUCAAUGAGAAAGAGGUUGAUUUUCCUCUAAGUAAAAUUGUUUUUUUUUUUUUUUCAUUUUUUUAAAUGCUUAUUUAUUUUUGAGAGAGAGAGGGACAGAGCAUGAGCAGGGGAUGGGUGGAGAGAGAGGGAGACACAGAAACCGAAGCAGGCUCCAGGCUCUGAGCUGUCAGCACAGAGCCCGAAGCAGUCUCGAACUCAUGAACCGUGAGAUCAUGAUC